rnacentral:rRNA from 1 species
GGCGCAUGGUGGAUGCCUUGGCAUCAGAGGCCGAUGAAGGACGUGGGAGGCUGCGAUAUGCCUCGGGGAGCUGCCAACCGAGCGUUGAUCCGAGGAUGUCCGAAUGGGGAAACCCAGCACGAGUGAUGUCGUGUUACCCGUAUCUGAAUUCAUAGGGUGCGGGAGGUAACGCGGGGAAGUGAAACAUCUCAGUACCCGUAGGAAGAGAAAACAAUAGUGAUUCCGUGAGUAGUGGCGAGCGAAAGCGGAGGAUGGCUAAACCGUAUGCAUGUGAUACCGGGUAGGGGUUGUGUGUGCGGGGUUGUGGGACCUUAUUUUCCGGGGCUACCUUCCUGGAGGGCAGUGAGAAAGUGUCGUGGUUAGCGGAAAUGGCUUGGGAUGGCCUGCCGUAGACGGUGAGAGCCCGGUACGUGAAAACCCGACACCUGCCUUGAUUUGUGUUCCCGAGUAGCAGCGGGCCCGUGAAAUCUGCUGUGAAUCUGCCGAGACCACUCGGUAAGCCUGAAUACCUUCUGAUGACCGAUAGCGGAUUAGUACCGUGAGGGAAUGGUGAAAAGUACCCCGGGAGGGGAGUGAAAUAGUACCUGAAACCGUGUGCCUACAAGCCGUCAGAGCCCUCCUUCGUGGUGGGGUGAUGGCGUGCCUUUUGAAGAAUGAGCCUGCGAGUCAGGGACAUGUCGCGAGGUUAACCCGUGUGGGGUAGCCGCAGCGAAAGCGAGUCUGAAUAGGGCGUAUCCGCACAACAGUGUGUGGUGUAGUGGUGUGUUCUGGACCCGAAGCGGAGUGAUCUACCCAUGGCCAGGUUGAAGCAGCAGUAAGAUGUUGUGGAGGACCGAACCCACUUAGGUUGAAGACUGAGGGGAUGAGUUGUGGGUAGGGGUGAAAGGCCAAUCAAACUCCGUGAUAGCUGGUUCUCCCCGAAAUGCAUUUAGGUGCAGCGUUGCAUGGUUCUUACUGGAGGUAGAGCUACUGGAUGGCCAAUGGGCCCUACAAGGUUACUGACGUCAGCCAAACUCCGAAUGCCGGUAAGUCAACAGUGUGGCAGUGAGACGGCGGGGGAUAAGCUCCGUGCGUCGAGAGGGAAACAGCCCAGAUCGCCGACUAAGGCCCCUAAGCGUGUGCUAAGUGGAAAAGGAUGUGCAGUCGCGAAGACAACCAGGAGGUUGGCUUAGAAGCAGCCACCCUUGAAAGAGUGCGUAAUAGCUCACUGGUCAAGUGAUUGUGCGCCGAUAAUGUAGCGGGGCUCAAGCACACCGCCGAAGUCGCGGCAACGAGUACACCUUCGGGUGUGACGUUGGGUAGGGGAGCGUCCUGCACGCCGGUGAAGCCACCUAGUGAUGGUGUGGUGGAGGGUGUGGGAGUGAGAAUGCAGGCAUGAGUAGCGAUAAGGCAAGUGAGAACCUUGCCCGCCGAAAGACCAAGGGUUCCUGGGCCAGGCCAGUCCGCCCAGGGUGAGUCGGGACCUAAGGCGAGGCCGACAGGCGUAGUCGAUGGACAACGGGUUGAUAUUCCCGUACCCGUGUGUGCGCGCCCGUGAUGAAUCAGCGGUACUAACCGCCCAAAACUUCGAUCACCGAUCACCUUCGGGUGUGAGGGUUCGCAGGGCUGCGCGGGACCUUCGCUGGUAGUAGUCAAGCGACGGGGUGACGCAGGAAGGUAGCCAUACCAGUCAGUGGUAAUACUGGGGCAAGCCCGUAGGGAGAACGAUAGGCAAAUCCGUCGUUCACAUAUCCUGAGAGGUGAUGCAUAGCCGAGUGAGGCGAAUUUGGUGAUCCUAUGCUGCCGAGAAAAGCCUCUAGCGAGCACACACACGGCCCGUACCCCAAACCGACACAGGUGGUCAGGUAGAGAAUACCAAGGCGUACGAGUGAACUAUGGUUAAGGAACUCGGCAAAAUACCCCCGUAACUUCGGGAGAAGGGGGACCCCUUACUGUCAUGGCACGUGCUGCCGGCAGCGGUGGGGGGUCGCAGAAACCAGUGAGAAGCGACUGUUUACUAAAAACACAGGUCCGUGCGAAGUCGCAAGACGAUGUAUACGGACUGACGCCUGCCCGGUGCUGGAAGGUUAAGAGGACCGGUUAACCCCCUUGGGGGUGAAGCUGAGAAUUUAAGCCCCAGUAAACGGCGGUGGUAACUAUAACCAUCCUAAGGUAGCGAAAUUCCUUGUCGGGUAAGUUCCG